GACGUAGGAUGCAAGCGUUGUCCGGAUUUAUUGGGCGUAAAGAGUUCGUAGGCGGUUCGUUAAGUCUGAUGUUAAAGAUCGGGGCUCAACCCCGGGAGUGCAUUGGAUACUGGCGGACUGGAGUGCGGUAGAGGUUAGUGGAAUUCCUGGUGUAGCGGUGAAAUGCGUAGAUAUCAGGAGGAACACCGGUGGUGUAAACGGCUUUCUGGACCAUAACUGACGCUGAGGCACGAAAGCGUGGGUAGCAAACAGG
rnacentral:rRNA from 1 species